rnacentral:rRNA from 1 species
GCGCAGCAGUCGCGAAUCCUCCGCAAUGCGGGAAACCGCGACGGGGGACCCCGAGUGCCGUGGCAACGCCACGGCUUUUCCGGAGUGUAAAAAGCUCCGGGAAUAAGGGCUGGGCAAGGCCGGUGGCAGCCGCCGCGGUAAUACCGGCGGCCCGAGUGGUGGCCGGCUAUUAUUGGGCCUAAAGCGUCCGUAGCCGGGCCCGUAAGUCCCUGGCGAAAUCCCAACGGCUCAACCGUGGGGCUUGCUGGGGAUACUGCGGGUCUUGGGACCGGGAGAGGCGGGGGGUA